rnacentral:lncRNA from 1 species
GAAAACCAUAACAUGAAGAAAUAGAAAACCAUAAGAUGAAGAAAUCAUACCGGAACGAUGGGGGGAGCAAUCACCGGAACGGGGGAGCGAUCACCGGCGGACUGAGGAGGGAACGACGGCGCGAUGAUUGGCGGAGCGAGCGGCAGCAACCGGCAGGAGCGGACGACGGCGACAGAGGCAAGGAUUCAGCGGCAGCAGCGAUUUCGGCAGUAAGGUGCGUGUUCUGUCUGGAUUUUGGGUUUUUAAUAAACCCCAAAACUUACAUGGCGGAAAUCCGCCAUGUAAGUACACUUAAGUUCCGACGGGACUUAAGUGAAAGUCCGCCCAAUCGAAAUUUGGGCGGGCUUUUUCCGCCCAACUCCUCGAAUACUUAACAUAGCGCCCAAUCGAAAUUUAGGCGGGCUUUUUUCGCCCGACUCCCUGAAUACUUAACAUGGCGGAUGUCCGCCAUGUUAAGUCAAUUUAAUCGGGUAAUCGGGUUGAAUAUUGGGGAGAUUCGAAAUUUUGGGCGGGAUAGUUUAGAUGACGGAUUUCCGUCAUCUAAACACCGCCAUCGGAAAAAAAUUUGAACCGUCGUCGAGCUAAAACCUUUUCUCAGCGGACUCAAAGAAUAGAUGGCGGACAUCCGUCAUCUAAACAAUUGGAUUAUUGAUGACGGAAAUCCGUCAUCUAAAGACCGCUAUACAAGGUCCUUUUUUUUGUAGUGUCCUCCACCGAAGAUUAAAUUUAUUACUCUUCUCUUGUGGUCAUAGUCUGAGUCAGGACUUCUUGAGCGUUGGCGCUUACCCUUGUUUUUUGGGUCCUUGCAACCUUGUUGCCCCCUCUCUACUUUAUUUAUAUAUUGCUUUAGUUUCCCUUCCUUUACCUGUGUGUCUAGGAAGGUGCUUAGUGUUGGAUCGAGAUCCGAGGCUAUAAGGGGGGAUAAUAGCCUCUUUUUAAUUUAUACAGGUUGAUUGCGGAAUUACCUGUAAAUGCUUAAUAAACAAAUGGUUGAACAAUAAUGAUAUAAAAAUAUUAUAAUUUUGAUUGAUAUAAUAAUGUAAUUAUUACUCUUCAAAGUUUACCACAGUAUAUGAAUAGUGUUUUACACUAUAGUGUUUUACACACAACUAUAAUAUAUGAAUACUAAGUUAUAUUGUAAACACAAAUUGUAUUGUAGAGUAAAUGAUCAGAUAACUGGAUAUAUUGAUAAGCAAGUAAGUGACCAGACAACUGGAUAUAUAUGAUAAGUAAUACUUAAACAAAUAUAAGGAUUUAAAGCAAUUAAUAUAACCUCGAUCAGAUGGUUGACCAGAUAACUGGAUGAGGGAUCUGCGUAAAGUAGUCAACCUCUGUAUUUGACCAGAUAACUGGAAGAGGGAUCCUUUUUAAUUAAGUGUUGUUUUUAGAUAUUUUAGAUAAAAGAUAAAACUAUAAUUAACAGAGAACAACACAAGAGAUUUAUACUGGUUCACCCAAACAAGGGCUAGUCCAGUCCCGACCAACUGUCGGAAUUCACUCGCCUAAAGGUUAUGGCAAAACCUUAGAGUAUCAAGGAAACUCUUAAGAACCUCUCUAAGCUUUAAGGCUACUUCGCUUAGGAACCAGUCUUUUACGGGUAGACUCACACCUUAGAGUAUCAAGGGCACUCUUAAGAACCUCUAACUUUUAAUUUGCAGGUAAGUUAGUACAUUAGAGUAUCAAGGAACUCUUAAAAACCUCUCUAAGCUUUAAAGCUACUUCGCUUAGGAACCAGUCUUUUACGGGUAGACUCACACCUUAGAGUAUCAAGGGCACUCUUAAGAACCUCUAACUUUUACGGGUAAGUUAGUACCUUAGAGUAUCAAGGAACUCUUAAAAACCUCUGAAAUCUUUAAAGAUAGACUCGACCUAAGAGUUUUCCCGGAAACUCUAUAAAACCAAACUAGAACUUUAUGGUUGAGCUCAAAAACCUUCUCUCACACUUUGGUACUAUUGAGACAACCCUCUCAACCAAAGUGGACCCACACAAGAGGUGAUUAGAGGAGUGAAAUAUUAAAGCAAACAACACUUCUUACUUGUAAAGAUGAACAAAAAGAUUAGAAGAAGAAGUUGGAGAGCUUUUGAAGCUUUGGAAAGCUAGGACACUUGAGCACUUGAAAACUUGGAAGCUUGGAGGCAAAAACGUGUGGGCAAGUGUGGAGUGAAAGCUCUUGAGUUUGCUUGUAGUGUGGUAAGUGAAAAUGAGGGGUUUACCCUUCUAUUUAUAGCCUUGGCACUCAAUGUCCACCCUUGGAUCUUCAAUGGAUGGCUCCUUGAUUUCUCACAUAAAUCCAAGUUUUGUCUUUGAUCUUAUCUUGAAUAGUGCUUUUCUUGGAUAGAGUUUGUUGGAGAAUCUUAUCUUUGUAUAAAUUCAAACUUGAAUAGUGUUUUGUCCCCUUGGAAUAUUAUACCUUGAAUAAAGUGUCAAAAGAUAAUAAUAAUAAUAUUCAAGGUAAAAAUGCAAUUAUUCCAAAUAAUAAUAUUCAAGUUAAAAAUGCAAUUCUCCCAAUUUGACUUUUAACUUUGACUUAAACCCUUAACUCAAAUGAUUAAUUAAUUAACUGGAGUUAGGUUUAAUAUCGAUUGACUUAUUUACCCCAUAUUGAUUAAUAGUGUAAUUAGGGUUUAAAUUGACAUGAUUAAAAUAUAAUCCUAUGUCGACAAUUUUGAUUCUACACUUAGCUCCCUGCAAUUUUCUGUAUUGUGCCCGUAGUCCUUGUGGAACUUGCAGUACCUGUUCCUCUUUGUUCGGGCCUCUUUUGUUGGAGGGUUUAAUUCUUCUGGUUGAGGAAACCUUAUUCUUCCUUUUUCUUUAUUGUAGAUUUUCUCUUUUGGAGUGCUGAAAACCGUGAAUUCCAAGUCUUUAUACCUUGGAUAUUUCGAUUUUCCAAACUCCUCAGAUGUCUGGUAGACCUUCCAAUCGUGUUUUGGUCUCCAAGAUGAUUCUCCUUUUUCAAAUUUUUGAAAUUUUUUCUUUGGUGCUUUAUAUGCCUUUUUGUUGCUUAUGACACCUCUUUCUUUUUCUUUUUCUUUUUCAUACUCUUCAGAAUUUAUGUAUUUCUGGGUCUUUGUUAGCAGGUCUUCCAUGUAUUUUACAUUACUAACAUUUAGCUUUAUUGCUAAUGGUGUGUUCAUGUCUAGUCCCUUCGAGUAUGCGCAGAUUGCAAUUGUUGUGUUCAGGUCGGAGAUUUUUUGCAUGGCUUCUGUGAAUUUAGUUGUGUAAUUCCGAAGCGUAUCUCCAUUCUGUUUGAUUGCAAAUAAUGACUCCGUGCCCUUCCUGACCCUUGUGUUUCCACAAUGCUGGGAAUGAAUUUUUUUUUCAAGUCUUCAAAACUUGUUAUGUUCUCUGGUUGUAGUUCGACGAACCAUCUGUAUGUAGGCCCUUUCAGUGUUCCUGGAAAUGCUCUGCAUAAGAUGUCAUCUCUUGUUGUGGCCCAUUGCAUUGCCCCUACGAACAUGUUUAUAUGGUCUACUGGGUCCAUCUUCCCAUCAUAGAUUUGUAGCCUGGGUAGCCUGAACUUCAGAGGUGCUGGUUUUACCAUUAGCGAUUUAUGUAAGGCAUCCAUACCCACUAGCCAGUUCGGGACUUCGCCUCCUUCUCCUUCUGUGUAUCCCGUGCCUUCUUCAUAUACGGGUUUUUUAGGAGGAGGUUUAGAUUGCUCCUCUGGCCUGCGGGGUGGCAGUGCACUGGAGUGUGCUGCCUUAUGGCUUGACACCUCCUGUUGUGCCUUAGCCUGUUUUGACGUUUGAGCCUUUGAAUGAAACAAUGAUGCUUUAGAUUUUUCAAUAUUCUUUAUUUUUUCGCUUAUCUUUGCUAUGGUUUCUUUCAUUUUCUUCAGCUCCUCUAUGGGCAUCCUUACGAAUCCGUGAGUGGCUUCUGAUGUUGUAGCCCUUGCUUUCCGGUUGCUCACAGGUUUUUCCUUCUGAGGUGCUUCUUCUGAAGGUUUCUCCUUCUCAGCAAGGAGUCGAAUGGCCUCAGCUAUUGUCCGUACUGUGAUGUUCAGGUUUUCCCCUCCUACUGAUGCUUGGGGGGUUUGCUCGGGCUCACUCUCGGGUUCAGCCUCAGGUCCAGUGGGAGUCCUUUUAUUUCUGUUGCCUUGGGUGGUCGACCCACUGGUCUUUUAGUUUUUGAGUUGUCAGGCUGUUGCUCUGGCGCCUCCUGAGAAUUUGCUCCUCCUUGAGAAAUACUCCGUGUUACCACCAUCCUGGAGUGUUCGACUUUUUUUUAAAAAGUUGAUUCCUGUGCACUUGGGGAAUUCCUUGGAAGUCGUAGCCUGAAAGCGUAGCUCCUUGAGGAAUUGACUUUUUCCCUUGGAAGAAAAAAAUCGAUCUUCUGAAAAGUCGAUCCCUUGCUGGCUGAUUUUCUCGCAAGACUCCCUAGCUGGCGACUUGGAAAAAAGUCGAUCCCUUUUUUCGAAAAAGUCGAGGAGCUUUUGUCGUGAGUAUCUUUGAAUCACAGACGGCGCCAACUGAUGGGGGUGAAACCCGACCAGUAUUCCAAGACGCGCAAGCAAGCGCCAAGCGGGGAACUCCGCGGGAAAUCGGACCGGAACUCAAGUGUGCAGAGCUCUGCUUCGCUAGAACUUCUUCCACUCCAAAUGACCUGCCUUUAAUGAGUGGGGGAUGCCUUCUAUUUAUAGGGGUUCUUAUGGGGGUAAUCUGGUCAUUUGUGCAGUAACUGCCUAACUGAUCAGAUCGAGGCCCAAGGUCGACUUUCCAGAGAUCGACUUUCUGGGGAUCGACUUUCCUGGUGAUCGACUUUCCUGGUGAUCGACUUUAUUCAGAAGUCGAUCCCAGGGAAGUCGAUCCUCAGGAAAGUCGAUCUUCCUAGGAUUCGACUUGGGACCUCCCCAACCCUAGAAUAGGUUCCUCAACUCAUCUUAGGCUAUCCGAACUUUUAGUUGCUGGUAAGUUGUGACCGGAUUCGGGAUACUGUAUCACCAGUACUCCCCCCUCCUCUACGUAUUAGAUAUCUUAGGAUACGUCUUUUAGUACUAUGGUCUGUGUGUUGGACCUUGUACUAUCAACCCUCAAAUUUGAAUGCAUCUAGUCAUCUCAAUUCUUUCAGCAUUAGGAGUGUUUAAGAAUUUGAAGUACUUUUUUGCUAAAUAAACCCAGUUGGUGACAUUGUCCCCUUUGAACUUAGGUAAAUUCAUUUUCCCAAGACAAGGUUUAUGCAUAGGUUUGUUACCAGAAGGUCUAGUUUCAAGAGAAGCUCUGACCUCUAGAUUUUUUCCCAUCAUCUCAGUAAGUUUGCCCAUGGUCAGCUGACUCAGCUCCAUAGCAGCCAACCCUGUCUACAUUGCCUCAACCAUCCUUUAGGAUCCUACAAUGAGUAGUUUCUUAGGAAGAGAAUUGGAUGAUUUCAUAUUAAUCAGAUGCUUCCCUGAUGUAGAUCGAGUAUAUAUAGAUCCCGAUCAAAUCUUGAAAGGUUGUCAAAUUUUUUGAUUCCUUUUAUUAGAACAUUAUAGAAGAAGCUCCAAACCUUGCAAUACUGAUUCCUAACUCUUAUAAAAUUAAGCAAAGAUGGAGGGAAAAGGCCGUUAAUCCGACUUUAAGAUUGAUUUUAUUAAAUAAAAUCAUGAUAAAUAUAUACCCAAAAAAAUGGUACGCCACGCGAAAGUGAACCCCGCUAAACCUAACCUCUUAUAAAGGCAUGUUUGAAGGUUACAAGUGAUACAACUCAUAAUACAAACAAGUCAACCCACACACUCCUUAAAAACUCGUCUGUCUAGUCUCAGGUUUAUUCGACUUUAAGAUCGAAUAGCCGCAACUCUCUUGUUUUUUCAUUCAAUAACAUAUUCCAAUGUUUAGUUUAGCUAUUUAUAGAAAUUAAAGACUUAACAAACUAAAGCAAUUAAACUACUAUAUAUAGUUUUUUAAAAGUUAAUACUUGAUCCAACAGGUCAAAUAGGACAGGCCCAUCAUCCAGUCCAGUUGAGACCUAAAAAAAGGUUUAAUUCAUAAAAAUGGGUCAAAUGAGCCCAUUUUUCCAACGUUUCCCAAUUCAUAAAAAUGCGUGAUCAAUCGAUUAAAAUAGAGUUAAAUUGAUUUUAUCCUCACCCACAUGCCAAUUGGCCAACAUGACCUAACUAGCUCGUGCCCACUUGCGAUAUUAAACCCUAACAAAAUAAAAUCCAAACUUCACAAGCAAAUUAAAACUCGGCUUCAAAAACGGACUAGGUUUAGGUUAUAGUACACUCCAUCUCCGUUUCCCAAUGCUCUCUGCCAUCUAUGUGUGCAAGUUUCGAAACCGCCAUCGAUCGUACCAACAUUAAAUCACCAAAAAUAUGUACAUUAUCCAAAAAUAUCUUUUAUUUUUUAUAAGCUUUACUUUCGAUUUUAUAAUUAUAAUAAUUUUUUUUAUCAAUUUUUUUUUAUCCAGCUUGUAAUCGGACGAAAACAGAUAGUAGUGAUAUCUGCUGGUAAAUAUUAUUAUUUGGCGGGUCGCAAAUUGAAUGAGACGACGGUCAAGCUCACUGGCUCCUGCCUCGGUUCCUGUCCCGGACCCGACGACCAGGGCAUGAAACUUGGCGGAUCCAGGGCGACCCGUCCAAAAUACAAAUUAUAAACAAUUUGUAAUUUACAUUGUAAAUUUUUAGUUUUUACCCUAAAUUCCUAAAGAGUAAAGAAUAUAAUCUAAAUGGACUUAAGGCUUAAGCCCACUAAGUUUAAAAUCCUAAAUGAAUAAUAAAUUAUUAUUAAAAAAAAAAUGACUUUAAAAAAAAAAAACUUAUUCAAUAUUAAAUUAUUAAAUCAUAAAAAUUUAAAAUCUCAUUUUAUUUAUUUCUCUCUCUU